UUACUCUGGUUUCUCUUCAUAACGCACAAGUCUUUCGCCUUUUACUAAAGACUUCCGUGGAGAGUGACUCCAACGAGUUUUUAGCCCUAUUUUGGCAGGCUUUGCUCUCUGAGAGCCG
rnacentral:snRNA from 1 species